GUGCCUGGCUGCAAAGGAGCAUCCAGCAAGGAGCCCAGAGACACAGGUUUUUUGCUACAUCGUUAUUUUGCUACCCAGUGGUUUGUAGGGCUGGAUGUCAGCUGUUUGCCAAAGGCCCUGGAGCAGCAGUCCUCAGGAAUGUAUCUGUGCAACAAGCAGUCAUCUAAAGAAAGUAUAUUCACUGAAAGCUGCUUUUUCAGUGUGAAGGUGAAGCCAUUGUGAGCAGCAAAUCAAGGUGGGCUCCUCUGAGAAGGAAAACAACAAAUCUGAGAGGAUCUGGCAGCCCAGUGGGUUGUGCACUGGGGGAAGCAGGUUUGUGCUUAACAGUGCUU
rnacentral:lncRNA from 1 species